rnacentral:misc_RNA from 1 species
UCUCCGUUGGUGAACCAGCGGAGGGAUCAUUACAGAGUUUUCACAACUCCCAACCCUUGCGAACCGUACCCAUUCUGUUCUCGUUGCUUCCGGCGGGCCCUACGAACCUUUAUAUCUCAACCACCAGAAACCGUCUGAGAAAACAAAUAAAAUAAUCAAAACUUUCAACAACGGAUCUCUUGGCUCUG